AGUGGAUGGGGAGCAACCUAUGUUGUGCGUGUGUAAAGGUAGUGCCAAGAAAAGCGAUGAUCAUGUUGAAAAUCAAUUCCCGGUACCCGAAACCGACACAGGUGGGCAAGUAGAGAAUACUAAGGGGCGCGAGGUAACUCUCUCCAAGGAACUCGGCAAAAUGACCCCGUAACUUAGGGAGAAGGGGUGCCACCGAGAGGUGGUCGCAGUGAAGAGGCCCAGGCGACUGUUUAGCAAAAACAUAGGUCUCUGCAAACUCGAAAGAGGAGGUAUAGGGGCUGACGCCUGCCCAGUGCCGGAAGGUUAAAGAAGUUGGUCAGUUUUAGGAUGAAGCUAGCGACUGAAGCCCCGGUGAACGGCGGCCGUAACUAUGACGGUCCUAAGGUAGCGAAAUUCCUUGUCGGGUAAGUUCCGACCCGCACGAAAGGCGUAACGAUCUGGGCGCUGUCUCGGAGAGAGGCUCGGCGAAAUAGGAUUGUCUGUGAAGAUACGGACUACCUGCAUUUGGACAGAAAGACCCUAUGAAGCUUUACUAUAGCUUGGAAUUGUGUUCGGGCUUCCUGUGCGCAGGAUAGGUGGGAGGCGUAGAAGGUAUUCUUGUGGGGAUACUGGAGCCAACGGUGAGAUACCACUCUCAGGAGGCUAGAAUUCUAACUUAAUUAAGGACAGUUUCAGGUGGGUAGUUUGACUGGGGCGGUCGCCUCCAAAAAGGUAACGGAGGCGUACAAAGGUUCCCUCAGACUGGUUGGAAAUCAGUCGAAGAGUGCAAAGGCAGAAGGGAGCUUGACUGCGAGAAGUACAGUUCGAGCAGGGUGGAAACACGGUCUUAGUGAUCCGACGGUGCUGUGUGGAAGGGCCGUCGCUCAACGGAUAAAAGUUACUCUAGGAUAACAGGCUGAUCUCCCCCAAGAGUUCACAUCGACGGGGAGGUUUGGCACCUCGAUGUCGGCUCAUCGCAACCUGGGGCGGAAGUACGUCCCAAGGGUUGGGCUGUUCGCCCAUUAAAGCGGUACGUGAGCUGGGUUCAGAACGUCGUGAGACAGUUCGGUCCAUAUCCGAUGUAGGCAUGAGAAUAUUGAGAGGAGCCUUCCUUAGUACGAGAGGACCGGGAAGGACGCACCGCUGGUGUACCUGUUAUGAUGCCAAUUGUAAACGCAGGGUAGCCAAGUGCGGAGAGGAUAACCGCUGAAAGCAUCUAAGUGGGAAGCCCACCUCAAGAUGAGUAUUCUGGUGUAAGGUCACGGGAAGACGACCCGUAAAUAGGCACGAGGUGGAAGUGCAGAGAUGUAUGAAGCCGAAGUGUACUAAUAGACCGUCGGCUUGAUC
rnacentral:rRNA from 1 species